AGGCCGUUCCGGACUGCCCAACACGGCCCGGCACCAUCCACCCAUGCCCAUCCAGGACUUUUAAUCCGUUGGUUGUGGGUUCGAGUCCCACACGGCCUA
rnacentral:tRNA from 1 species